GACGAACGCUGGCGGCGUGCCUAAUACAUGCAAGUAGAACGCUGAAGGAGGAGCUUGCUUCUCCGGAUGAGUUGCGAACGGGUGAGUAACGCGUAGGUAACCUGCCUGGUAGCGGGGGAUAACUAUUGGAAACGAUAGCUAAUACCGCAUAACAGUAGAUGUUGCAUGACAUUUGCUUAAAAGGUGCAAUUGCAUCACUACCAGAUGGACCUGCGUUGUAUUAGCUAGUUGGUGAGGUAACGGCUCACCAAGGCGACGAUACAUAGCCGACCUGAGAGGGUGAUCGGCCACACUGGGACUGAGGCACGGCCCAGACUCCUACGGGAGGCAGCAGUAGGGAAUCUUCGGCAAUGGACGGAAGUCUGACCGAGCAACGCCGCGUGAGUGAAGAAGGUUUUCGGAUCGUAAAGCUCUGUUGUAAGAGAAGAACGAGUGUGAGAGUGGAAAGUUCACACUGUGACGGUAUCUUACCAGAAAGGGACGGCUAACUACGUG
rnacentral:rRNA from 1 species